GGGCAGCUUGAAGGACAAGUGCCUCGUUUGACCUUGACUUAAGGUUUUAUACGCCGGCAUGCUUCCAGCAUCUCGUGCAUCUUUCCCUUCAGUCUUCCCUUAGGGUGAGCCGCGUGCAUGCGCGGUGGCCUGCUAGGCGUUGGAGGUGAGCAUGCGCAGUGUGUUUACUGGCGUUGUGCGCAUGCUCACCCGAGGCAGGCGUUCCUCCCCUUUCUUGUGGAAUGCAGCUGGAAGGUCAUGUGCCCGUUAAACUCUGCACAUGCUUGAGUCCACUCACCCAAUUCCUGAGAUCUUAUUGGGAAGCUGCCAAUCACCAGUUUCUUUCAAUCUAUUGGGAAACUGUCUUUCUCUGGUGCCGGCUGCGUGACGACUUCCGGACCAUCACUUGACAUUCCUGGUGGGGUGCGGGGGCCUUCUCCUGCCUUGUUCACAUCUAUUACCCCUGUAACAGUACCUGGUACAGAUUCCAGCUAAAUAUGAGGUCUAGUAAAAAGGCUAUGCCCUUGUGAAUGAGAAAAAAAUCCACUUUUUCUGCAGAGUUUCAGGGUUGGAGUCCCAGCGCUUUAAAAUGCACUCCAGCAGAGUGCAUGUUACUGCCUUGUGAAGAGGGUGCCUACUUCUGCUUCGCCUUCAGCUUGAUUGUACGUUUCCUGAGGCCUCCCCAGCCAUGUAGAACUUGGUGUUACCAGAAAGGGUCCCGAUCCAGACCCCAAGAGAUGAUUCUUGGAUCCCAUGCAAGAAAGAAUUUGGGCUACCACAUCCCCAAGUGAAAUCCCAAACCACCUCCUACCUGGAGAUGCAGCCCAAGCCGAAGACCGCUCUUUGUUGGCAUGGAAGCGGCAAACUCCCCGUUCUUAUCUGAGGUAAGCAAACUCCUUUCCUAGAGGAGUUCCCUAGCAAAAUAAACCUUGAAUCUCAAGCCAGACAUUUCGGGAGAUCAGGGAACCUCAAUGGACACAGCAGGCUUUUGAACCUUUUGCAAUUUGGAUGGUCAGAGAGAAUCUCUUGCUGGCGGGAGAAUUGCUGCAGGUCCCAGGAGCGACCAAAAUGAGCGACUGAGGCACUAGGUCUCAAACCACCAAGGUUUAUUGAACCAGCUUGAGGGUGCAUGGGGGAAAAGCACAAGUCAUAGAAGAAUCUGUGGCUGGUUUUCCCAAAGAGAUUCUUAAAAGAUUCAGUAUUUAUUACAUUUUCCUUAAAAAAGGGGUGGGGCAGCAGGGAGGCAAAUGAUUAUGUACUUGUAAGACUUUAGUUAGUGCUCAGAAAAUAGACAUUUUACAUAAGACAAGGUGAAGAGUUGGAGAAAAAGGGAAUAGAAAAGGCGGAGUCUCGGGGAGGGGUGAAGGAAUGAUUAGUCUCAUCUCAUCCUUGUUCUGUGCCUGGGAAGAUGUGCCAGCAGUCUUUGGAAAGACCGGUUGGUUUAGCCUUUAUGGGAGAAAACCUAAGGACUGUUAGAGAGGGAGUCAGUGUAAUGAGGCAUGUUCCAUCUCUGAUCUUGUCAUGGCUGUCAGCUCAGCUUUCAAGGUUUCUAUGGAGUUCCCUUGGCCAAGUGGGGGAUCCAUUUAGUCAGUUAAGAGGCUUGGAAUUUUUUUUUUGAGAUGGGAUCUCACUCUGUUACCCAGGCUGUAGUGCAAUGGCAUGAUCUUUGCUCACUGUGACCUCCGCCUCCUGGAUUCAAACAAUUCUCCUGCCUCAGCCUCCCAAGUAGCUGAGAUUAUAGGCCCCUGCCACCACACCUGGCUAAUUUUUGUGUACUUUUAGUAGAGAUGGAGUUUGACUGUGUUGGCGAGGCUGGUCUCAAACUCCUGACCCGUCAAGUGAUCCAGCCACCUCAGCCUCUCAAAGUGCUGGGAUUACAGGUAUGAGGCACUGCCCCUAGCCGAAUUUUUUAUUUCUCUUUGGGAAACACUUUCAUUGUGUCCUCUUUCUCAGGUCCAUCCCAUGUUCUCCUCAAAUACUCAUGGUGAAAUGUCUUCUAGUCUUAUUGGGAGGGGUGUGUGUGUUAAUCUGUAAAAUAUAACUCUUGUUAAAAGUGUAACUACAACACCAUUAUCUCAUGUUUUUUUAAAUUAACUCAAUUAAAUAUCUAGCUAGUAUUUAAAUUCCACAAUUGUCUCAUUUUUAAAAGAUACUUUAUUUGAAUUAAGAUCUAAAUAAGGUACACACAGUGUUAUAUGUUCCCUACCAUUCUUUUUCCUUUUGUAGCCGUUUAUUUCUUCAAAAUUUCUUCUUUGGUCUUGAAAAGCAAGUUUAAAGCUUUAAGAAGUAUACAGUUUUUGUAAUUAGAAAACAUUUUAGGCUGAACACAGUGGCAUAUGCCUGUAAUCCCAAGCACUCUGAGAGGCCACUGCAGGCAGAUUGCUUGAGGCCGGGAGUUCAAGGCAAGCCUGGGCAAUGCAGCAACACCCCAUCUCUACAAAAAAAUAGAAAAACUAGCCAGACAUGGUGGUGCACGCCUUGUGGUCCCAGCUACUUGGGAGGCUGAGGUGGGAAGAUCACCUAAGCCUGGGACAUUGAGGCUACAGUGAGCUGAGAUCAUGUCACUGCACUUGAGCCUGGGCAAGAGUGAAAUCCUGUCACAAACAAACAAACAAACAAACAAACAAACAACAGAAAAAAGUUUCAGAGGCAAAAUACACUAUAAAGGAAAUAAAAUUCACCUAUAAUUUUACAAGUUUCUUAAACAUUAUUUUUAAUAUUGGCAGAAUGCUUCACUGUGUGACAUGCCACAAUUUCAUGAUUGCUGUGUUUUUGGACUCCUCACUCGUGUCCAGUUUUCUCUUCUGGUUAAUCGUGUCUUAUUGUGUCUGUAAAGCAUGAUGCACAUCUGAUUAUUGCUGUGGAAGGAUAAACUCCUAGAAACAGAAUUAACAGUCAUGGUGUAUCUAUAUAUGAAGCCUGCUGGAAAAUUCUUCAUAAAGACUUAUAUUUGGGCCAGGCAGGGUGGCUUACUUGUAAUCCCAGUGCUUAAAGAAGGCCAAGGCAGGAGGAUUGCUUGAGGUCAGGAGUUUCAGACCAGUCUAGACAAUAUAGUAAGACUUCCAUUGCUACAAAAAGUUAAAAAAAAAAAAGAGUUACGCUAAUGUGGUGAGUGCCUGUAGUUCCAGCUACUCUGGGUGCUGGGGUAGGAGGAUCUUUGAGCCCAGGAGUUUGAGGCUGCAGUGAUCUGUAAUUGUGUCCACUGUACUCCAGGCCUGGGUUACAGAGUGAGACCCUGUUUCAAAACAAACAAAAAACCCAGACAUAUUCAUAGUAAGGUAUCUUAAUCCAUUUUCCAUUGCUUAUAACAGAGUAUCUGCAAUUGGGUAAUUUAUGAAGAAACAAUUUAUUUCUUACAAUUCUGGAGGCUGGGAAGUAAAAGGUCAAAGGAGUGUACCUGGCCUUCUUGCUGGUGGAGACUCUGUAGAGUCGGGAGGGUGCUGAGCAUGCUAGCUCAGGUCUCUUUUCCUGUUGUAAAACCUCCAGUCCUACUCCUGUGAUAUCCCACUAGUCCAUUAGUCCGUGAAUGGAUGAAUCCACUCAUGGGGCAGGGCCAUGAGCUAAUCACCUCUUAAAGGCCCCCCUCUCAAUAAUGCCAGAUUGGGGGUUAAAGUUUUUUCUUUUUUUUUUUUUUUUUUUUUCUGAGAUGGAGUCUUGCUGUGUCACCCAGGCUGGAGUGCAGUGGCACAAUCUUGACCUAAAAUGAUCCACCCACCUCGGUUUAACAUGUGUUUUACAGGGAACAAAAAUUCAAACCACAGCAUCAGGAGUGUAACAAAAAACCACCUCUCCUUCAGUCUCGCAGAUACCAGGUAUUAAAAACAAAAACACAAACUUCCCAAGUUGACAUAUAGUCUAUUUGUUUUAGUUCAUUCUUCAUUAUUCAUAACAAAUUUGGGAUAUAAUUUCUCCAUAUGCUCAGUAGUCUAUAUUUCUUCUAUUGUGAAUUAUCUGUUUAAGAUAUUUGCCCAUUUCCUAUUAAGAGUUGUAUUGGUCGUGGGUUCUAGCUGUCUGUUACUAGGUAACAAAUUACCCCAAAAUGUAUUGGCUUAAAAUGACAACUAUUCUUAGGCUUCUGUGGGCCAGGGAAUUCGGGCAGGACAUAGAUGAUCAGUUCUUUUGCUUCAUGUGGUGUUCACUGGAAUUCCUUGGUGAUAUUUAUUGGUGGCUGGGGUGGUCUGCAGGGUUCAAGAUGGCCUCAGUCACAGGCCUGGGCCCUGUUUGGGGAUGGCCAGGCCUAGCCAGGUUGCCUCUCCAUCCCUGAGCAGUUUUAGGACCUCUCCUUAUGGAGGAGAGCUGCCGCUUCUCUCCAUGGGUAGGUGGCUUAGUAUUGUGGGUUUUAUGGCCGUGAAAAAUAUACACUGGGAUGAGUCUGCAAAUAAACCUUACUAAAGUAACAUUUAUCUUCCAUUACUUUCCCCCAUAUAUUUACCUUCCCACAACUUACUGCCCCACAGGAGUUCAAAACCCUUUUCCUUUGUCAUGUCCUGUUUCCACAAUUUAUCGUUCUUUGAUAAAAUGGUAUAUUAUUGGUCUAAUUGCUUCUUUGGGUCUUCACUUUUCUGUUUAUUUAUUUAUGAGACAGAGUCUUGCUCUGUUGCUUAGGCUGGAGUAUAGUAGUGCGAUCUUGGCUCACUGCAACCUCCACUUCCAGGUUCAAGUGAUUCUUGUGCCUCAGUCUCCAAGUAGCUGAGAUUACAGGCAUGCACCACAAUGCCCGGAUAAUUUUUGCAUUGUUAGUAGAGACAGGGUUUUACCAUGUUGGCCAGGCUGGUCUCAAACUCCUGACUUCAGGGGAUCUGCCUGCCUUGGCCUCCCAAAGUGCUGGGAUUACAGGCAUGAGUCAUGGCACCCGGCCCUGGGUCUUCACGUCUCUAUGAAGACCUCCGUAUGCAUAUGUAAUGAUAAACCUUUUCUCCUGUUAAUUUAAUUUGUCACUCUAAUUGGCAGGGACCUAGCCUUUGAACCUAAGCAGGUAGAGGAAAGAGUUUGUUUUCUCUCUCCUCUACAAUGACUUGUUUUACUGAAUGGCAUAUUGGUAGAUGUGAUACAAACAUAGUUUUCAAAAGUGUGUGUGUAUGUUGAGUCUUGCUUUUUUUUAAAAAAAAUUAUUAUUGUUAUUAAGACAGAGUCUCGCUCUGUCACCCAGGCUGGAGUGCAGUGGUGAAGUCUCAGCUCACUGUAACCUCCCUGGUUUAAGUGCUUCUCCUGCUUCAGCCUCCUGAAUAGCUGGGAUUACAGGCAUGUGCCACCACACCUGGCUAAUUUUUAUAUUUUUAGUAGAGACAGGGUUUCACUGUGUUGGCCAGGCUGGUCUCGAACUCCUGACCUCAAGUGAUCUGCCUGCCUCAGCCUCCCAAAGUGCUGAGUUUAUAGGCGUGAGCCACCACUCCCAGCUGAAGCUUGCUAUUUUUUUUUAACUAAAGGACAUUUAUUAAUUUUUACCAAGACCUCAUCUUGAGGACAUGGCUAAACUGUGUUUCCACCCACCACUUUAUCUUGAAGAAGGGUUGGUACGGUGAAUGCUGUAAAGUAGAUAUGAACAGUUGAAGGACUGGAAUCAACACCAACUGAUGAAGAACAACUUCCAUCUAAAUUAUCAUAAAAAUGUUUAAGUCAAAAAAAAAGAAAGGAAAGA